UAUUACAAAUGGCUGAGAUCACUUAGCAAACAACACCUCAAAGAAGAGACCUAGAAUCCAUGGGAAAACUGUCGAUGAUGCAAUGAAUUUGCUAAAUUCGAUCAACAAGGGAUGUAGCUGCUUAGCAUUCCAAUGGAUGAAACUAAUUAUCUGCCAUGGAGCAGAGCAAUGAUGAUAACACUCUAUGCAAAGGACAAAUUGGGUUUCGUUGAUGGAAGGAUUAAGAUUCCAGAUCCAGAAUCCA
rnacentral:lncRNA from 1 species